ACGGAAGGCAGCAGUAAGGAAUCUUGCACAAUGGGGGAAACCCUGAUGCAGCAACGCCGCGUGAUUGAUGAAGGCCUUCGGGUUGUGAAAAUCUGAUCUAAGGGAAGAAACAAAUGACGGUACCUUAGGAGAAAGCCCCGGCUAACUACGUGCCAGCAGCCGCGGUAAUACGUAGGGGGCAAGCGUUAUCCGGAAUUAUUGGGCGUAAAGAGUGCGUAGGUGGUUACCUAAGCGCAAGGUUUAAUCUCGAGGCUUAACCUCAUUCUGCCUUGCGAACUGGGCUACUUGAGUGCAGGAGGGGAAAGCGGAAUUCCUAGUGUAGCGGCGAAAUGCGUAGAUAUUAGGAAGAACACCGGUGGCGAAGGCGGCUUUCUGGACUGUAACUGACACUGAGGCACGAAAGCGUGGGGAGCAAACAGGAUUAGAUACCCUGGUA
rnacentral:rRNA from 1 species